CGGAGAAGAAAGCCUUACGUUUUGCCUUGAGGUUUUUUCAGUAAAUGUUUAAUUCAGCGUGUCCUGCACAUUGUUUUUUUACAUUCUUUAAGUGUCUGACCUGGAAUCAAAUUACUCUUCGCCUUGACUGAUCUGCAGAAAAAAAAAAAUGCCCCAGCAACUUCUUGGGGGAAUGUCAAGCAGAAAGCGAAGACCUAACUGGACGGACCAGGAGUGUCUUCUUCUUGCUCAGUUAAUGCAUGAGAGAAAAGGAAUAAUUAAAGCAAAGUGCAGCGCUGGAGUUUCGAUACAGGAUAAAAGACAAGCUUGGGAGGAAAUUGCCCAAGCUAUUAAUGCUGCCUUUCCACAUAUCCAGCGCACAGUUUCAGACUGUAACAAAAAGUGGGAAAAUCUGCUGGCAAAGUCAAGGGAGGAGAUCAGACGACAGAAAAAACAAUCAAGUACAGAAGAUGUGUCCCUCACAGAGUUAAGUACUGUAACCCGAGUUGUGGUAUCUGUAAUGAAUCUAUCAAACAUGUUGCAACAAGAUAGAGAGGACUCUUCAGUUUCAGAGAUGAUGCAAACUCAACACAACAGUGAUGAAAAUGGAAAUGGCCACAUGAUGGAGUCACACUUCAUAAACUCCGAUUCUCACACAGAUCUUCAGAUCCCUGCAUAUGAGGAAGCAUCCAUCUCUCCACCAGAACAAAAAGUUCUUAUUUUUCCGGACAUAUCCAACUCAGUUGCAUCGCAGUUUGGCACUCCUCGUGCUGCUGGUUUUACCGCUUCGGCAGAACAUUCAGAUCCUAGAUCAACACCUGCCGCACACUGCACAACUCUGCAGGAGCGGAUGGAUUUGGAACUGAGUGUGCUAAGGAGACAAGAAGCAGUCCUAAAGCUGCAGGAAGAAUAUUAUACUCUAAAAAUAAAGCUUAUGAAACAGCAAAUGGAAAAGCAGCUUUCAAAGGACUGAAAUUGUGGAAUGCAAACUGUUUUACCUUUUUUGUGCCUGCUGUGAAAUGUGGCUAUUGGUCGACACAACUCUUGGUAAUACUCUGAAUUAUUUGUGUUAAAUCCAAAACUCCUCUUUGGAUAGUGAAGUAUAAUGAUAUUUCAAUCAGACGAGACUUGAAAACCAGUGAGCAAUUAUUUAUUUUACUAGUGUGGAUAGAACAGAAUGUAAAAUGUCUUUGGCGAAUAGACUCCACCAUGAUGUGUUUAUGUCCUCAAAGGGGUAGUAAGUCCAACAGCAGGAUAGGAUUCCCCUAUUUAUGAAGUCUAGAGACUGUGGUGAGAUAGGAAGUGGACUUCUGAGGAGCUGAACCCAAACCUGGACACAGAUGAGAUGGGAAGGAGGUGGCUGAGGUUGAGGAGGAUCACACUGAAAUAAAAACUGACUGCAGGGAGAGGAGAACAGAUUUUAAAAUAUGACAAAAGCAGGAUGAUUGGCCAAGAGAGGUCUAGCAAAACAGGAUUGUUUUAAACGCUAAUAACCAUCUGUUUACCAGAGCAGGAAAAGAGGGGAACCGGGAAAAACUGAGAAACAUCUAUACGCAAUGAGAGGAAGGAUGAAUGGAUAUUGAAGUCUUCCUGUUCACAUCUGAUGCUAAGAAUCACCUCAAAUCAACUGUUCUCUCCAUUUAAAUAAAAGUCAGCAAUUUUUGUGAUACCUGUUAUUUUGGCUAUAUUACCUAGAUGGCUCACAGGACUGUCUUUAAGCUUUUUUUAUCAGUACAGUAGCAAACACUACCAAUGCUAAUGUUGACACAAUACCAAGAGUACCUUUAUGCCUUACCAGAGAGUUCUUUUGUGCAUUACCAUGAACCUGGGACUUAAUAGGUUGCAGCAAUCAGUAUCAUUGGCUAAACCCUUGUUUUCACUGCUGUCUGGUGUGCAUGUGUAGAGUGUGGAAAAUCAUAAGAAUUCUUUUUUUAUUUAUUUAUUUAUUUUUAAAGAUUUAAAUUUGGGUUCCUUAUACCUUCAUUGACAGAGGAGGACAGUUGACAGAACCAGAAACAGGGAUGAGAGGGCUGGGGAGAGACAUGCAGGAACAUGCCACAGGCCGGUGUCGAACUCGGGCUUCCCCAGUAUCCCACAAAGUGAAUUGUAUGCACUAGAGCCUAAAUGCAGGAGGAUAUUAACUGCAGACUUGAAUAUUUUAGAAAUAGUACAGUGGAUAACCUGUGGGGAGAGUGUGGAGAAUGACAUCUAAGCAAAGAGACUGGAUCUGUGGACAACAGCCUCUCUACAUGGGACAUGCAGACAUAACCACCAAGCUACCAGCGCCUCAGCAUGUGUGGAUGUUUAAACAAGGAAAUGCUCUGUUCUUAGCUCCAGCGGUCAGUGUUAAGCUUUAAGAAAAAGUGAAAUAUCCUUAAAGCAUACUAUGUCUGUGUUUUGGGUUAUGGCUUAACAAUUACUUUGCCUGUGUAGGGCAGUCAUAUUGUUAUGAGAAUGACCACACUACAUUUUGAAAUACAAUAAAGGCUGAUUAUGUUCAUCACAACCAAAUAAAACCUCAAAAUCUUUUAAAUAUUAAAUAAUAUUUUUUUAAUAUUUCAAAAUUAAGUUUUGUAUAGGCCACAAAAAUUGUUUUGUCUUCUGCAUUAUAACACCCAUGACCAUCAUACUACAGUAAGAUGGUUUUGUUUGCAAAUCUUUUUUCCUGCUUCAGUCAUAAAGAUAACUUUUGUUUUUUAAAAAUAAUCUACCAUUGUAACUUUUUAUUACAAAAAUGUAUUUACAUUUCUUUUUUGCCCAAAAUUUUACAUUUUCAAACACCUAAAUACUGUAGAAUUUGAUGCACAACCCCCAAUUUCAAAAUGUUACAACUUUUUGUAAAGUGUGAAUUAAAACAGAAUACACUG